AGCGAACGCUGGCGGCAGGCCUAACACAUGCAAGUCGAACGAACUCUUCGGAGUUAGUGGCGGACGGGUGGGUAACACGUGGGAACGUGCCUUUUGGUUCGGAAUAACUCAGGGAAACUUGUGCUAAUACCGAAUGUGCCCUUCGGGGGCAAGAUUUAUCGCCAUUGGAGCGGGCCGAGUCUGAUUAGCUAGUUGGUGAGGUAACGGCUCACCAAGGCGAAGUUCAGUAGCUGGUCUGAGAGGAUGACCAGCCACACUGGGAGUGGGACACGGCCCAGACUCUUACGGGAGGAAGAAAGGGGGAAUCUUGCGCAAUGGGCGAAAGCAUGACGCAGCCAGGACGCGUGAAUGAUGAAGGUGUUAGGAUUGUAAAAUUCUUUCACAGGGGAAGACAAUGACGGUACCCGGAGAAGAAGCCCCGGCUAACUUCGUG
rnacentral:rRNA from 1 species